rnacentral:rRNA from 1 species
ACGGCGAGUGAAGCGGCAACAGCUCAAAUUUGAAAUCUGGCCGCAAGGUCCGAGUUGUAAUUUGUAGAGGAUGUUUUGGGUACCGCCACGCUCUAAAUUUCUUGGAACAGAAUGUCAGAGAGGGUGAGAGUCCCGUCCUGGGGCGCGGUAGGACCCGUGUAAAACUCCUUCGACGAGUCGACUUGUUUGGGAAUGCAGGUCAAAAUGGGUGGUAAAUUUCAUCUAAAGCUAAAUAUUGGCCAGAGACCGAUAGCGCACAAGUAGAGUGAUCGAAAGAUGAAAAGCACUUUGAAAAGAGAGUUAAACAGUAUGUGAAAUUGUUGAAAGGGAAGCGCUGGCAACCAGACUCGAGCGCGGGGUUCCCCCUGGCUUCUGCCAGGGUCACUUCCCCGUGUCCGGGCCAUCAUCAGUUUUGGGGGUCGGUCAAAGGCCCCGGGAAUGUACCCACUCCUCCGGGGGUGGACUUAUAGCCCGGGGUGUCAUGCGGCCUCCCGGGACUGAGGAACGCGCUUCGGCGAGGAUGAUGGCGUAAUGGUUGUCAGCGACCCGUCUUGAAACACGGACCAAGGAGUCUAACAUCUAUGCGAGUGUUCGGGUGUCAAACCCUUGCGCGGAAUGAAAGUGAACGGAGGUAGGAAGGCCUGAGCCUGCACUAUCGACCGAUCCUGAUGUCUUCGGAUGGAUUUGAGUAAGAGCAUAGCUGUUGGGACCCGAAAGAUGGUGAACUAUGCGUGAAUAGGGUGAAGCCAGAGGAAACUCUGGUGGAGGCUCGCAGCGGUUCUGACGUGCAAAUCGAUCGUCAAAUUUGCGUAUAGGGGCGAAAGAC